rnacentral:piRNA from 1 species
GUAGUUGCCAAGGACAGAUCCAGGAACUGA